rnacentral:rRNA from 1 species
GACCCUACGGGGGGCAGCAGUGAGGAAUAUUGGUCAAUGGUCGGGAGACUGAACCAGCCAAGCCGCGUGAGGGAGGAAGGUACAGAGUAUCGUAAACCUCUUUUGUCAGGGAACAAAGACUGGGACGCGUCCCCGGAUGAGUGUACCUGAAGAAAAAGCAUCGGCUAAUUCCGUGCCAGCAGCCGCGGUAAUACGGAGGAUGCGAGCGUUAUCCGGAUUUAUUGGGUUUAAAGGGUGCGUAGGCGGAACAUUAAGUCAGCGGUAAAAUCGAGGGGCUCAACCCCUUUAAGCCGUUGAAACUGGUG